rnacentral:lncRNA from 1 species
AUGGGCCGCUGCCCCACCCAGUGUUACCAUUAUUGUAAGAACAACACAAAGCCUCUCUUCUGGCGAGGUGUUGCUGAUGCCGAGAUUCCCAUCUUUGACCUGGGGUGGAAGAAGGUAAAAGUGGAUGAGUUUCCACUCUGUGGCCACAUGGUGUCAGAUGAAUAUGAGCAGCUCUCCUCUGAAGCCCUGGAGGCUGCCUGAAUUUGUGCCAAUAAGUACAUGAUGAAAAGUUGCGGCGAGGAUGGCUUUCAUAUCCAAGUGCGGCUCCACCCCUUCCACGUUAUGCACAUCAACAAGACGUCCUGUGCUGGGCUGACAGGCUCCAAACAGGUAUAUGAGGUGCCUUUGAAAAGCCCCAGGGCACUGUGGCCAGGGUUCACAUUGGUCACGUCAUCGUGUCCAUCGGCACCAAGCUGCAGAACAAGGAGCAUGUGAUUGAGGCCCUGCACAGGGCCAAGGCCAAGUUCCCUGGCCACCAGAAGAUCCACAUCUCAAAGAAGUGGGGCAUUACCAAGUUCAAUGUGAAGACAUGGUGGCUGAGAAACGGCUCAUUCCAGAUGACUGCGGGGUCAAGUACAUCCCCAGUCGUGGCCCUCUGGACAAGUGGUGGGCCCUGCACUCAUGA